CUGGGUGUAGCUCAGUUUGCGCAGAGUACCGGAUUUGGACACCGGAGGCCGCAGGUUCGAAUCCUGCCACCCAGA
rnacentral:tRNA from 1 species